CAUAACGACUCUCGGCAACGGAUAUCUCGGCUCUCGCAUCGAUGAAGAACGUAGCGAAAUGCGAUACUUGGUGUGAAUUGCAGAAUCCCGUGAACCAUCGAGUCUUUGAACGCAAGUUGCGCCCGAAGCCUUUCGGCUGAGGGCACGUCUGCCUGGGCGUCACGCA
rnacentral:rRNA from 1 species